rnacentral:lncRNA from 10 species
CUCCCGAGUAGCUGGGAUAACAGGCGAGUGCCACCACCCCUGGCUAAUUUUGUGUAUUUUUAGUAGAGAUCGGGUUUCACCAUGUUGGCCAGGCUGGCUCCAAACUCCUGACCUCAAGUGAUCCGCCUGCCUUGGCCUCCCAAAGUGCUGGGAUUACAGGCAUGAGCCGGUCACUAUGUAUCUUCUUUUAAAUGUAAGUUUUGUGUUUUAUAAUUUUUCACAUCUACUGAAUUAAAUCUGAACAGUGACUUUGUGCAAAAUAAAUUUUGCUGUCCAUUCUUGCCAAAAAGUCCUGAAUGUCCAGGAUGAUUUCUCCAGGACAUCUCUAUUGCUCCCAAGUUUCAAACAGUUUUUUGGGAGCCAAAACCUCAGGAUUUACCCUAGAUCUGGUUAACAUUUUGAAAAGAUACAGGAUUUUACCUAAACUGCCCUGAGUAGAAAACCAUCUUGUCAUUUUUCCCUUAUGCCUUCCCUGACAGGAGGGCAGAUACUAUCACACAGCAUACUUCUCAGUAGUUGGAAGGGUUUGAAGGUCCUGAUAAGCAGUGUCCAUAAAGAUAAGGGAGAGCUUUUCAUUUAACUAGUCACUCAGACUUUCAGGAAGUUUUGAGUGUUUUUUGUUUCUUUUUUUUUGAGACAGUCUCACUCUGUUGCCCAGGCUGGAGUACAAUGGCGCGAUCUCAGCUCACUGCAACCUCCACCUCCCGGGUUCAUGCCGUUCUCCUGCCUCAGCCUCCCAAGUAGCUGGGACUACAGGUGCCCGCCACUAUGCCUGGCUAAUUGUUUGUAUUUUUAGUAGAGAUGGGGUUUCACUGUGUUAGCUAGGACGGUCUCGAUCUCCUGACCUCGUGAUCCAUCCAC